rnacentral:tRNA from 1 species
UAAAAUGGUCCCUAAAGACAAAAUUUCAUUGUAAAAGAAAUAUCUAAUGAUUUCAUUUU